rnacentral:snRNA from 1 species
AUACUCACCUGGCAGGGGAGAUACCAUGAUCACAAAGGUGGUUUUCCCAGGGUGAGGCUUAUCCAUUGCACUCCAGGUGUGCUGACCCCUGCGAUUUCCCCAAAUCUGGGAAACUCAACUGCAUAAUUUGUGAUAGUGGGGGACUGCGUUCACGCUAUUCCUUG